rnacentral:rRNA from 1 species
AUUGAACGCUGGCGGCAUGCCUUACACAUGCAAGUCGAACGGCAGCACGGGAGCAAUCCUGGUGGCGAGUGGCGAACGGGUGAGUAAUAUAUCGGAACGUGCCCAGUCGUGGGGAUAACGUAGCGAAAGCUACGCUAAUACCGCAUACGAUCUAUGGAUGAAAGCGGGGGAUCGCAAGACCUCGCGCGAUUGGAGCGGCCGAUAUCAGAUUAGGUAGUUGGUGAGGUAAAGGCUCACCAAGCCGACGAUCUGUAGCUGGUCUGAGAGGACGACCAGCCACACUGGGACUGAGACACGGCCCAGACUCCUACGGGAGGCAGCAGUGGGGAAUUUUGGACAAUGGACGCAAGUCUGAUCCAGCCAUUCCGCGUGCAGGAUGAAGGCCCUCGGGUUGUAAACUGCUUUUGUACGGAACGAAAGGUUUCUAUUAAUACUAGGAGCUCAUGACGGUACCGUAAGAAUAAGCACCGGCUAACUACGUG